CUGCGUAAUUAAUAAUUUUUCUUUUGUAAUUAGUACAAAAAAUCAUGACGUGAAAGCAGAGAGUAGAGCUCCAGGGUAGAGAGAAAGUUCUUAGAAUUUACAAGUGCCUGGGUUGGUUUCCCAGCACCCACCCCUCAAAAGUCUUACUUUGAGACUGUAAAUAAACCUUAUUCAGUAAUGUAAAAUUUUAUUAAAAAAACAAGUGUACAGAAUGACAAUACCAUAUAAAAUGUUCUCAAAAAGUGUAGUGUCAUAAGGGAGUUUAAAGUAUUAUAUUGGGGGCAGGUUGACAAUACUUUUAAUCAGUUUUCCUCCAAAAACUGCCCUUCCAUUUGAACCUGUUGAUUUUUCCCUGAACCAGCAAUAUUUUUCCUUAUUAGCUAGUGUUUUUCAAUGUUUAUUGCUCAACGUAAAUGGGUACUCUUUCUGUGUCUCAAAGUUUAAUUAUGUUUGGAAACAACUGGGAAGUAUUAACUUUCUCUCCACACUGUUUUUCCCCCCAUUUGUAAGCAGCUUACUAGUGAGUGUAUUUCGAUAAGACUAUUUGGAACAUUAAAGUGCCUUUUUAGCAAGUUUUCCCAAUAUAAAAUAAUGUACUUUUGUCAGUAAUGACUGUCAAUUCUUAGCCUACAGGGAAAGAAACCAAAAAACCUGCUCCAUCCACACAGUUACAUUGUAUAGGAACUUAAAUUUUAAUAUGAACCACUGUAACCUACUGGAAAUAACUGUUGGUUUACUUAAUCAAGUGAGGUUUUUGUUUUUUGAGGGACACGGGUUCAAGGUGCACUUUACCACUAAGCUACAUCUGCAACCCUUAUGAUUAUUUUGAGACAGGGUUUCCCUGAGAUGAUUACGCUGGCCUUGAACUUGCAAUACUCCACCUUAGCUUCCCAAGUGGCUGAAGUUGUAGAUGUUGUGCCACUGUGACCUGCAAAUUAUUCAGUAUUUUACAAGAGUUUUUUUUUAAAAAAUCAAUGAUCUCUUUAAAAAUAACUUAGAAAAUGUGUCAAAAAGAUCAUCUAAAUAAAUUGUGUUGGCUAAUGUUGUGUUUAAACAACUUUAUUAGAUAAGUGAGCUGGUCCAUUGUGAAUUUGAAUCUCCUGAAUUGAUAAUUGAGAUUUAAAGAACCAGUACUCACAAAAAGUCAAUAUUCAAGUUCAGUUAAAAUAAAAUUUAUAUUAAAUUUUAUCUCAGGUUUAGCAAGGGAAGGGGUGGUUCUUUGCCAUGUUCCUCAACUACAAGGACAGAACUUUAUUCAGUAUCUGUGUUAAUGUAAUAUUGGCCUAAUAAUCUAGAGUAGAAGUGAUAUUUUUUAAAUAAUCUUAAAGAAAUCAAGGAAUUUGCAGGUUACUCAAAAAUUGUAGUAUGUAAGAAUAGGAAUGACAGAAUUUGGAGGUGGGCAUUUAUGACUGCUGGGACCUAAAGCUCUUCC
rnacentral:lncRNA from 1 species